rnacentral:lncRNA from 1 species
CAGGGAUCCGUCAAGGUGCUUCACUAUCCAGCCUCGAAGGUCGAGACAGUGCAGAGUGUCUCAGGAGCAGGAGACUGCCUUGCUGGAGGAUUCUUGUGCGGUCUGCUUCUCCGGCUUCCUUGGGACCGGUGCAUGGGGAUCGGCAUGGCGGCUGCCGGCAGGUCUCUGCUGUCUUCAGACACCGUUCCCAACACGCUGGGCACGGACUGCCUUGACGCUGUCUCCACUUCCCGCCCGAUAGUUCUCGAACCAACCCGGACAGAGCAAUAAAGU